UACAGAGGUGGCGAGCGUUGUUCGGAUUUAUUGGGCGUAAAGGGUCUGUAGGCGGUCAGGUAAGUCGGAUGUGAAAUCCCACAGCUUAACUGUGGAACUGCAUUCGAAACUCCCUGACUAGAGUAUGAGAGAGGUAAAGGGAAUUCCCGGUGUAAGGGUGAAAUCUGCAGAGAUCGGGAGGAACACCAGUAGCGAAGGCGCUUUACUGGCUCAUCACUGACGCUGAGGGACGAAAGCUAGGGGAGCAAACGGGAUUAGAUACCCCGGUAGUCCUAGCCGUAAACUAUGGUCACUAGGUGUUGGGGGGGUUAAACCCUUCAGUGCCGUCGCUAACGCAUUAAGUGACCCGCCUGGGGAGUACGGUCGCAAGACUGAA
rnacentral:rRNA from 1 species